GUGCUUUGAUACUAGACACCUAAGGCCCUAGGGCGAUAGUUGAACGGAUAUUGGGUACGAUUAAAUACUUGUAGAAUUAGUGAUUGAUCAAGACGGAAUCUGUCAAUUCUUGGUAAUGAGUUUAAACUCCAUGUUGUCAUGAAUUAUAAACGAAGAAACUAAGACCUUGGCCAGGGCAAUUGAAUGAAAAAAGAAAUGAGUUUCUUAGGUCAU
rnacentral:lncRNA from 1 species